rnacentral:rRNA from 1 species
AGUGAACGCUGGCGGUAGGCCUAACACAUGCAAGUCGAACGGCAGCACAGUAAGAGCUUGCUCUUACGGGUGGCGAGUGGCGGACGGGUGAGGAAUACAUCGGAAUCUACUUUUUCGUGGGGGAUAACGUAGGGAAACUUACGCUAAUACCGUAUACGACCUACGGGUGAAAGCAGGGGAUCUUCGGACCUUGCGCGAUUGAAUGAGCCGAUGUCGGAUUAGCUAGUUGGCGGGGUAAAGGCCCACCAAGGCGACGAUCCGUAGCUGGUCUGAGAGGAUGAUCAGCCACACUGGAACUGAGACACGGUCCAGACUCCUACGGGAGGCAGCAGUGGGGAAUAUUGGACAAUGGGCGCAAGCCUGAUCCAGCCAUACCGCGUGGGUGAAGAAGGCCUUCGGGUUGUAAAGCCCUUUUGUUGGGAAAGAAAAGCAGCAGGUUAAUACCCCGCUGUUCUGACGGUACCGAAAGAAUAAGCACCGGCUAACUUCGUG